AUUGAACGCUGGCGGCAGGCUUAACACAUGCAAGUCGAACGAGUGGCCGCCGGGUGAGUAACCUUUAUGAAUCUGCCUAGUAGUGGGGGAUAGCUCGGGGCAACUCGAAUUCAUACCUCCUACUAUUAGAUGAGCCUCAAUCCGAUUAGCUAGUUGGUGGGGUAAAGGCCCACCAAGGCGACGAUCUGUAACUGGUCUGAGAGGAGGAUCAGUCACACCGGAACUGAGACACGGUCCGGAAGCCUAAGGGAGGCAGCAGUGGGGAAGAGUGGACAAUGGGGGCAACCUGAUCCAGCCAUGCCGCGUGUGGGAAGAAGGCCUUUUGGUUGUAAAGCAAUUUAAGCAGGGAGGCGUUACCUGCAGAAUAAGCACCGGCUAACUCUGUGCCAGCAGCCGCGGUAAUUC
rnacentral:rRNA from 1 species